GAUGAACGCUGGCGGCGUGCCUAAUACAUGCAAGUCGAGCGAAUGGAUUAAGAGCUUGCUCUUAUGAAGUUAGCGGCGGACGGGUGAGUAACACGUGGGUAACCUGCCCAUAAGACUGGGAUAACUCCGGGAAACCGGGGCUAAUACCGGAUAACAUUUUGAACCGCAUGGUUCGAAAUUGAAAGGCGGCUUCGGCUGUCACCUAUGGAUGGACCCGCGUCGCAUUAGCUAGUUGGUGAGGUAACGGCUCACCAAGGCAACGAUGCGUAGCCGACCUGAGAGGGUGAUCGGCCACACUGGGACUGAGACACGGCCCAGACUCCUACGGGAGGUAGCAGUAGGGAAUCUUCCGCAAUGGACGAAAGUCUGACGGAGCAACGCCGCGUGAGUGAUGAAGGCUUUCGGGUCGUAAAACUCUGUUGUUAGGGAUGAACAAGUGCUAGUUGAAUAAGCUGGCACCUUGACGGUACCUAACCAGAAAGCCACGGCUAACUACGUGCCAGCCGCCGCAGUAA
rnacentral:rRNA from 1 species